CCUAAGUCUUGAUUUUAAGGUCUGACCUGCCAAUGAGGGUUUAAAUGGCCGCAGUAUUUUGACUGUGCAAAGGUAGCAUAAUUAUUAGUUUUUUAAUUGAAAACUUGUAUGAAGGGUUGGACGAGAUAAAAGCUGUCUCUAUUUAAAUUAAAAUAAAAUUUAACUUUUAAGUUAAAAGGCUUAAAUUAUUAUAAAAGACGAGAAGACCCUAUAGAUCUUUAUUUAUUUAAAAGUUUUAAUAUGUUAAGAUUAUUUAUAUAUAAAAUUUUAAUUAAAUUUUAUUGGGGUAAUAUAAAGAUUUAAAUAAUUCUUUGAAUUUUAUACACUUAUUUGUGAGUAUUUGAUCCAAUUUUAUUGAUUAUAAGAUUAAGUUACCUUAGGGAUAACAGCGUAAUUUUUUUGGAGAGCUCAUAUCGAUAAAAAAGUUUGCGA
rnacentral:rRNA from 1 species